CCUACGGGUGACAGCAGUGGGGAAUAUUGCACAAUGGGGGAAACCCUGAUGCAGCGACGCCGCGUGAGUGAAGAAGGAAUUCGUUAUGUAAAGCUCUAUUAGUAGGGAAGUAAAUGACGGUACCUGAGUAAUAAGCCCCGGCUAACUACGUGCCAGCAGCCGCGGUAAUACGGAGGGGGCAAGCGUUAUCCGGAUUUACUGGGUGUAAAGGGAGCGUAGACGGCAGUGCAAGUCAGGAGUGAAAGGCUGGGGCUCAACCCCAGAACUGCACUGGAAACUGUACGGCUGGAGUGCAGGAGAGGUAGGUGGAAUUCGUGGUGUAGCGGUGAAAUGCGUAGAUAUCAAGAGGAACACCGAUGGCGAAGGCGGCCUACUAGACUGUAACUGACGUUGAGGCUCGAAAGCGUGGGGAGCGAACAGGAUUAGAUACCCGAGUAGUC
rnacentral:rRNA from 1 species